rnacentral:rRNA from 1 species
GACGUAGGAUGCAAGCGUUGUCCGGAUUUAUUGGGCGUAAAGAGUUCGUAGGUGGUUUGUUAAGUCUGAUGUUAAAGACUGGGGCUCAACCUCGGAAAUGCAUUGGAUACUGGCAGACUUGAGUGUGGUAGAGGCGAUCGGAAUUCCAGGUGUAGCGGUGAAAUGCGUAGAUAUCUGGAAGAACACCGGUGGCGCAAGCGGAUGGCUGGGGCAUAACUGACACUGAGGAACGAAAGCGAGGGGAGCGAAUGGG